ensembl:miRNA gmo-mir-11934 gmo-mir-11934
CCCACAGCGGCUGCACUUGGAUGCUGUGUAACAAAAGGUGACCGAAUGCUGCGUUGUGAUAG